ensembl:lncRNA
CUAAUCUUAAACACAGGUCUAUUAAUUAGGCUAUAUUGUGGUACAUAGACAGUCAUUGAGGCACAGCAAUAGUUUUCUGGUUGAAUGUUCAGCUCAAGUCUAGAAGGCCCAACAAGUCAUGAGCAGAUGAACAUAAAUCAGAAUAAGUUCAGGCAUACCACCCAAAAAUCCACGAGAAUGCAUGAAAUAACAUCUACUUAAACCAAAAUGUCCUGGGGGUGGACCAUCAGCUAUGUCUUUGCUUCACAGAAUGUAACCAAUGUUGUCCAUCUCCAGUAGGCCGCCCCUAUAAACGACUUUGGGCCCCACAAACCACCAGAAUGCAGGGUACAACAUGGGUACUACGCCAAAUGAAUUCCAAUUUCCUGAUAUUUGAGCCACCAACGUGUGUGGCUGCGUGCGCGGCAAAAUUUUGGUCACCCCCGACAAAAUCUCACUCCAAGGUUUUUUGAAAAGUUGGCAGCUCUGCAAUAUAGAAGAAAGAUUCUUAUUGGCCCUAGACUAGUGUUGAGGAGGAGUAGCACCUCACAGGGCAAAAUACUAGAUCCAAUCACAUACAAUGAAAAACAAAGUUUUUUUAAGUUGUGUGUGUUCGUGUUGUAUGUUGCAGUGUGUCUAACUCUCAAAUCUUCUCAAACGUUUUCUUUCUGGUUGGAACUUCUGCUUGGUUUUCUGACCUUGCAUACCUCAACCAGGAUAAGACGUAGACCUGCAAGUCCCUAAAUGAGCAGUAAGAAAAUGUCCCUCACCCUUGAUCAUUCCCCUAUAGAUGUCCAAAGUCCUAGUUGCCACCAUAGAUUGACAGAUCCCAUACAGGUCCAAUUACAUGAAGACAUUACGGCUAAAGCAGUGAAUGAAUCACUCCUUCAUCUUCCUGAAAAUGCCUCAUGUUGAGAUUAAUCAUGAAUUGCCAAAGCACUGUUACUGUCUGGGCACUUUCCUUUAGUUGCCUGUGAUGAAGUGAACUGAAAUGAAUGAAUUGAAAUGUUUUUGGUGUGCAUUGAAGAGUGUAUGAUUGUGUACGUCGCCCCCUUGUCUGUAGCGAAGGAUGAAAAGUCAAAGGCAGGUCCGCAAUGCAAACUGUCAGCACUAUUUUUACCCUUUGUGUUGGGAUUUUUUACUGAAAAAAGUACCAAUUGUUGAUUGUUGCUGAAAAAGAAAAGACAUCAGCUGAGGUCAGCGUCAUCUAUUGAUAGGGCAGGAGGUUCAUAUCAUGUCCCAGCUGUGACGUAGGAUCAAGAGGGGUCUCUCAUGCCCGGUUUUCUCACCUCCAGCGUAGAAAAUACUGUACUGAGUGUGUGCUGACCCCAUUCAUUCAGGAAGUAUGAGUCUGCUGUUUUGCACCAAGUUGUGUAAGAAUCUCUUCGGCCUAUUCUUGUGGUGACUAAUAAGAGGAAAGUGUUGCUGAGGAGUAAAUAUCCACAGUAACUGCUUCAAUAGAAAUUCAAAAGCUUAUUGUUGAAAUGGAAUAUCUACCGUGCCACAUACUGACAUCAAGCACCUAAUCUGAGCACGGCAACGUGCUGUAUUAGCAGCAUUUUAGUAAAAUGUAUUCUCCAGAUUUUGCUUCUGUACACACCAUUUAGUUUAUGUGCUACUAAAUCUUCUCCAUUCAAAGAUGUAGUGCUGUCAUUCUAAUCAGUCUCUGUAAAAUGGCCAAUUUGGGAUAUUUAAGUGUAAACUAUAAAUCAUGUGUAUCACUGAGCCUGCUACCUAGAAAGUGUGGUUUUGAGAGGUGUAUUUUGUCAGGGACAUCGAAGUCACGCAUUCUGGAAGACGCGAGACCCUGCAAUGUUUUAGAGGCCCGAUUCACGUAGGGAUUUCCCCAAUCUCCACCCGAAGAUUAGUUUUGGUGGAAUGACGCACAGAGCUCUCAUUGGACGAGGACCAUGGACAUGUGGGAUCUCCCCCCGAAUAUACUUGGUGGAAAUAUAAUCACUGAGCCCUAUAAAUCCUAUGAAAUAGAAAUGCCAGGCUAAAACCUGUUCUACAUGAUGCCGGACAAGUUAAAAGAAGCUUAGGCAAAAAUUCAGUCAGGAAGCCUGGACAGGCUGUACCGUUCCCUUGUGGCCUCCUCUCUCCCUGGGGGUGCACGGCCAGCUGAUUAGGGGCGGGGUCGGGUAGUAUCAGACGUGGGUGUCGUUACCGUAAACCAAUCGCAUUGGGGCAGGCAAACGUUAAAAACUGUUCUCCUCUCUUUUGCUGUCAGUUGUCAUCAGUGCUGUAGUGGUAAAUUUAGAGGUGGGUAAACUCACCUCUUUUGUGAUCAUACAGACCUUGACGCGAUGCGAAGCAACGCAACACAAAGCGUCGCGACUCUGUAAGGCUGUCCUGGCUAUAUUGCAUUAUGUUAUCAGUAAAAAUCAUAUACAAUCAAUGACAAUGAAUAAAUGUGUUAGUAGUUUAUUAAAUUUAAGAAAACAGUAAAGAAAAGUAUGUCAACACAACAACACAAUUGCAGAUUAAGAACUAUCUACAUAUGGAGUCUCCUUUUUACAGUAGUGCCCAGAGGGCCUCCUUGUCCUCCACGUCAGGUCCUGCCUUGCACAGAGGAGCCAUGAACCCCAGAACGCGUGUUCUGGGGUUCAUGGCUCCUCUGUGCUUCUCCUCUCUCUAUUGGACCUGGUGUUUCUCCUCUCCCUGUGCUCUCUGCAUCAUUGCCUGUCCUCUCACUGCUGAAAAAAUAUGUUGAAUUUAAGAGUUAACCAGUUAAGCAGCCUGUCAAUUACACUGACAACAUAAGUUAAAGGAACUCUCAUGUACUACCUAAAUCAUCAUAAAUAGCCUACAGCAUGUUUUGUUUUCAUAUUGAGAACAGCUUUGCUCCCCGCUCAUGAUGACAGGGGAGGCAGAGCCUUUGAAAAUUGACUGGAUUUUCUCCUAAUUAUGUGCGCGCGUCACUGGCGGUUUUCUUGUCCUUUCACCGUGCACGACCAGCGAACACAGAGCACGCGACUACUACCCGUCCCCUCCCCCCCCGUCGGACCUUCUCGACCGGUCCGCGAAAUAUUGUCUGACAUGAAACCGGUCCGUGAGGUAAAAAGGUUAGGGACCACUGGGCUGAUCCACAGCGUGUAUGUUUACACACCUCCUGGAUCCUGAUUGGUGUCGCUGCUGCAGCCACAAGGCACUGAUUGGAUGGUCACAGACCGUAAUACAGCGCAGAUGAACAUGAUUCAGACGACGGCGUUUAUAUGUUCAACAAUAGGAAACGUAGUCUUAGCUGUUUUAAAAUUACACCAAGUUUAUUUCGGAUUAUUCCAACAGAAGAAUACAAGGCGCAGGGAACUUUGAGGUGCGUAAACGCAAUUUAUAGGUGCGUAAACGCUAUUUCCAAAAUUCCAGAGGUGCGUAAACGGCGUUUACGUGCGUUUACCCUCCACUACAGCCCUGGUUGUCAUUUCAGCACGCUCCAAAGGUGACCCGCCACCACCCCUGACACCUCCAAUCUACAGCAGAACCUGGCAUAGCAGGAGGGUUAUGCAACUUGAACUCUACCACCACCACCACCAGUGUCUGGACUCCCAAAGGGGGGGGGUAUGCCUCGGCUCGGCACGAGAUCCUGGCCCCGGGUCUAUCCUGCACAACUUGCACAACUCCCAAACAACUUGCAAUAUCAUAUUAUAACUGUUAUAAUAAAGCAUUGUUCAAAUUUCAACAAGUCUCUCCGGAGUGAAAUGUUGAUAUUAUAAAAACAGGGCAUAUUAGAUUACAUUACUCCGUUGUCUUAUGUAUGCUUUUUUUAUAACAAUAUUUUCAUUUACUAAAUGGGACAGACACAUAAUAAAGAGCAAUGUUACAAUAGCCACACUUUCAAAAAGAGCAACCAAAUCAACUAUUUACAUAACUAUUAGAAAACAUCCCUUUAAUUCAUUCCCUUUUAAGUCUUAUUUUUGUUUAUGUCCAUAAUUUUUUCCGUUAUAUAACGUCCAGCCUUUGCCCAUCUAGCCUGCAACUCAGUCUCUUCCGGUUUCUUUGCUGUAGCCACUCCUUGAAGCAGACUGAAAAGAAAUGUAGAUAUUAACUGUAGUGUGUCUGCCAUGUCAGAAAAAAAAAAAAACGUCUGUGGCCUCCAACAAAGACUCUACAGCUCCUACUACACCAAGAAUAACAUACCUUUCAAAGUUUGUAGCUUCUUUGGGGUUAAUGGCUGCCGGGUAGUUUUGGUGGUGGGACACUGCCAAUUAUUUAACAAACAGGGAGUCCCGACUGUCGUUUGUGAUUCGGACCCAGGCCUCUUUCCGAAUCACCACGUUUUCUCCCAAGGUAAUCUGAAAGUCCCAUACAUAAACAAUAAAAAACAUUAGAUUGUAAGAAAUCCUUAAAAUAGAGGUAUCAUACUAACCAAUGCAUACAGAUGCAGUUGUUUACUUAUAUAUACAGUGUCAUUCUGUUUUUUGGCAAUGUAUAACUGAAUAUAUUAUAAAAAACCCUGUCCCCAAUCCCCAAUCAUUGGCGGCAGUCUCUCAUCAAGACGGGACAGCUCCGGUGUCACCUUUGCAUUUACUUUGAUGUCAGACCAUUUUUUCUUUAUUUCGGCCACGGUCCGAGGUUGUGAGGCUGCAGCGUUCACGCCCUCUGCAACCUUUUGCCACUCGAGGGCCUUUUUGGCAUUAGUAAUGCCCAUACUGUGCCCUCCAAAAAGCAUUUGACUUCUCCUUUACACCUCCCAAUUAUCGUUUCGACUUCACACUUUCCUCUGUGUUUGCCAUGAUUUCGCAAUCGAUGAAUAUUAAUUUGUGGGUGUUCCACAGACUAUAUAUUGGCAACUGUGGGCGUGACAUGAAGCCGCAAAAGCUGCGCUGCAUUUAGAAUCGAUUGUGAUUUAUUAAGGGAAAAUUGCGUAGGACGUGCGUGCGCACGGUUUUAUAAGUCUGAAUAUUUCUGUACGUACGCACGUCAGUGCCUGGUUUCCUCGAGACAUGACGCUUGGCAUUCAGGCCAAAGAGUUCAAUCUUUGUUUCAUCAGACCAGAGAAUUUUGUUUCUCAUGAUCUGAGAGUCCUUCAGGCGGGAUGUCAUGUGCUUUUUACUGAGGAGUGGCUUGCGUCUGGCCACUCCACCAAACAGGCCUGAUUUGUCACAUGUCUUCACAUGUCACAUGCACGUACACUUGUCACUUUCUGUUCGCUGGUGCGCUUUACUCUUGACCUUUUAUUUUUAAUUUAAAUUUCUUCCUAAAUUCCUCCUCCUGCACUAUAGUUGUUCUUGCACUAUGUUGUCUUAUCUGUUUUGUUGUCUAUUGUCUUGUCUGAUGUUAUGCACCAACCGCCAUGUCAAAUUCCUUGUAUGUCUAACAUGUCUUGGUAAUAAAUGUUCCUGAUUAGUAUACUAUUAGCCAUUGUUAGCUCAACUGGUCCAGUUUAGCAAAUAGUUGCAAAGGGAAAAAGAUGCCAUCAACAACAUAGCGACAACACGUUCUCAACACCCAAGACGGCAAAUACAGACUUGCGUUCUUGGGAGAAUAGACCCAGGAGACAAACUCGGGAGUCAAAACUUACGUGAACGGUCAUUUGUGUAAUUUGUGUAUAUCUAACUUAUAUUCAUAUUGGAUGGAAGAAACAUAUAGAAACGUUACUUAGGUACACAUUUAAGGGCUGUUGUAGUACAUCACCCUGCAUUAGCUUUACAAAAGGUUUCCUAAAGUAAAGAGGAGGUUGGAUACAGUAACAACAAUUAAUCAGUUAACAUUUUAUGAUUGUGCUACAUUGCACAUAAACACCUACCAUUUGUCUUUGUUACUAAAACAUCAAUAGGACGAUAAUCAGUGUGGUAGUUCUCGUCCAGUUCAAUGCCCAAACAUCACUAUAGAUUACAUUUUAAAUGUACCUGAACAUCAUAUGUGUCUACAUCAAUAAUGAUGCGUGAUCAUUGACGCUAGGUGAUAUUGUUAGUGAUUUAACAUAGUAUUUAAUCUAUGAUACAGUGAUCAUGGAAGCUGCAGUUAUAAAAAAAAUAUUGUAUUGGCGAACAAUGAAACAAAUAUAAAUAGUUUCAAGAAUAUGCAAGCGGCUGACCGUACAUGAAAGAUCUUACAGAGAAAUAUUCAAUAAAUCCAUCCAUCCAUCAUCAAACUGCUUAUCCUGCACACAGGGUCGCGGGAGGGUUGGAGUCUAUCCCAGCCAACUUUGGGCAAGAGACAGGGUACACCCUGGACAGCCAAUCGCAGGGCUGACACAGAGACAAACGACCAUUCACACACCUAUGGGACCUAGGGCAAUUUAGGGUCCCCACUUAACCUACUUCCCAGAGCAUGUCUUUGGACUGUGGGAGGAAGCUGGAGUACCCGGAGAGAAUCCAUGCAGACACGGGGAGAACAUGCAGACUACACACAGAAAGGCCACUGGGCGGAGUCAAACCCAGGACCUUCUUGCUGUGAGGCAACACCGUGGCGCACUAUUCAAUAAAUCAUAUUUGGAAAAUGUUUUAUUAUUACAAUUCAGAAUCCUUUUGAAGCUGAUCUGCUGCCGAGAACAUCCUGCUCACUGCGGGGUGAGAUGAGCUGGGGAGGUCUGACGGUCCUGUUAACUACACCUCACAUCUCAGAAAUAGUCAGCGGUAAUUGUUAAGAAGGCUCAAAGUUGACAAACUGACCACAGAAAUAUUGCUAAACAACUAACUUCUUGUUUGGAAACGUCUUAAAAUUACAUUUUGUGAGAUCAGUGCAAGCCAUCCAGUAGGGUAAUGACCAAGAAUGUUUGGAAUUAAAACCAGGAAUGCCCUCCACAAAAUGUGAAUCCUACCGUCCCAUCUCCCCAAUCGACAAUGAUUCAAAAAUAAUAGCAAAAUCACGUGCCAGAAGGUUUGAGAAACAUUCGCCUAACUAUUAGAGGAAGACCGGGCUCUCAUAAUAUUCAUAGAUUGAUGAAUGUCAUACAUGCCAAGAAAGAAAUACCCGAUGCGGCAGUUAUAGGACUCCAUGCGGAGAAGGUAUUUGAUAGGGUCGAGCAUGAAUAUCUCUUUGAAGUGCUUAGCCGCUUUGUAGGGUAAGCAACUACUUCCUUCGCUGAAUCAAACUCCUAUAUCAUGACUCAAAUGCUUCAGUCAUGACCAACUAUAUAGUAUCAAAACAGCUCUCACUUUGAAGAGGCACCAGACAAGGAUGUCCCUUAAUUUGUCCUGGCCAUCGAACCAUUAGCAAUUAGAGUCAAUAGUGAGAUAACUGAUAUCACAAUUAAUGAUACUGACAAUAAAAAAGGAUUAUUUGCCAAUUAUGUAGUGCUGUUUCUUACAAUCUAUACUUUCUUUGUUAAAUCUAACAUAUGGUAAUUUCUUAGGUUAUAAGAACAACAUCAGAUAGUUCUACAGUGCCUCACCGAGAAACUUACAGGAGAAGACUUUCUUGUAACCCUGUAGCCUAUACGUUUAGGGAGCUUUCUAGUUCUGGGGUAUAAUAAGUAUCUAUCUCUGCAUGCACAUAUCAACCACCCUCCACUGCUGAGUUUUUGUUUCUGUCUCUGCUGAGAAACAGUCAGUGAUGCUAAACAACAAAUCAUGCCACUGCUAUUUAUACUUGUUCAUAUUUACUGUGCCUUGUUUUGUUUUUGUUUCUUUGUUGUUUGUGUAAUGUGGAGAAAACAAUAAAAAUAUUUGUAAAAAAAAAGCUGUACAAAUUAUAGUAUCACAGGCUUCACGCAUUUAUUUUGUUUUGUACUUUUAAACAUAAUUUGUUGCAAACUUGGUAGUCUAUUUGUAAAUGAAGUUUUAACUUUCAUGGACACUCACACUUCUUCCAUAAAUUUCUCAAAAUAUAUUAAUAAAAGUAAUAUAUACAAAAGAUGCCACCAUGAGGCAUGUUUGGAUGGGAUCAGAUUGAGAUGGAUAAACAUACAAAAUAUAUAACUUCAGUGCGAUGCUUUUUUACUUCCUAAUUAUUGAUCACAUGGUAAAACAAUUACUGUUACUGGCAUCCUCUUAAAGUGAUAAGAGGUUUAUAAUACAGUAACUUAAUCAACAGAAAAGGUCACAACAUGGUUACUUUUCUACAAUGACUUGACAAUUAACUAAAUUGUCCAUUUGUUUCUUCCAAAUAUUUUCAAAAGCAGACUUUGUUUCUGAUUUUUUAAUCUUUCGAAUAAUAACUAACAUUUAUGUGAGCUAAAUUACAUGGCCCGUGUUGUCUUCAAAAAUGAAGAAACUCUGGACAGACAGAAGACAUCUUGUGUGUUGUUCCUUUUCCAUUACAAGAGCAAGAACAUCUGACAAAGCUUAUUAGUGCAAAAUGGAGCUCCACUGAUCAAUAAAAGAACACAUCUGUUCCAGGUAUAAAAACACCUACUGCGGAUUAGUUUAGGUCACAGGGUUCCCAAGACAGUUCACACCCCGAGUUCUGGAAUGCCUCACCGUACGCGGAUCAAUAAAUUUGCCACUAACAUCGAUCAUUUCCCCGUGGGUUUAGUCGGAUCCAAUAGGAUUAGACUAUUCGUAGACGUGGUUGAAACAGACAAAUCGGCGUACCACAGCCAGACUUUCAACACUGCUGUUUUGCCUUCGCGUCAUUUCUGUGGACGGACAAUUGCAUUCAAACCCGGAUUUACCGGGCCAUUGAUCUUGGCUGGUGGCCGACCGAGUCCGACAAUGCACUCACCAGCUCUCCGCCUCAAAUGGUGGGUUCAUGUCCCAGCGUCAGGGUUUUUAAAGACAGUUCAUCUUCGAUUUAGCCAUUUUAUUGUGCCUUUCAUGAGGGGAUUUUAGGACCCACUCUAGCUUUUGGACGUAUUUGAGGUGGCUGAGCCGCAUCUGUACUAAGUUUAGCUGAGUUAUACUCAGAAUGUAUAUGGGUGGUUGUUUUAGUAUUGUAUAUUCCAUGUUAUUUGUGCCCGCUGUUUUUUUGUAGUGUAUUGUUUUUUGAUAGUGGAACCAUGUCUCUUGCGACUCUGUACAAACAGAUCUAAGUGUCUAAAGAUUCAUUACUGUGUGGGCAAGAUUUAAUCCUCCCUAAAGUGGCGUUGCUGGUACCUGACAAUUUGUCCAACUCCAAGUAAUGGUAAACCAGAUAGCAUCCAUCUAAAUCUCCCGAUUGCCACACCUGGGUCACAUUAAGGGAGGGUUAAGGUUGUUUUCCUACUGAAAUACCUUUGUUCAGGGAUGUCUUGUGGUUUGACAACACAAACCUCUCUGAUUGUAUAUUGUGUGUGUAUUACGCUUCUAUUCUCCCCAAGAUCAGAUCUUCUUGCUCCUCUGAGGGUGAAAAAACACUGAGUCAUUGAACUUCUGUCUGUACUAACGGCUUGUGUUGAUGAUUUUUAUAUUCUUGUUAGUAAAAAAUACUUAAAUCACAAACAAGUUUAAGAUACUUUUGAUUUCUCUCAAAGGCUUAAUCCAUUCAUUUCCACCACAGUUAGCAAUUGAAAAAAACUGUAAAGGGCUCUCAGUUCUCUCUGCUCCUGUUCUUGUGUCUAAUCACAAAGCUGGACAAGGAGAGAAAGAGGCAGAGCGUGUCUCCAUCAUUGUAUCACCUUCCCCUCAAUAGCCAAGCAAAUAAAGAUCACAGUUGUGUGCCAGGAACUUUACAACUGCUUAACCCAUUGUGUGUGGGAGGCCUCUAAGAAAGCUAAAACUGCAGCAAGAGAUCAAGGAAAGGGAGUGAGAAAUGCAAGACUAGCGUGUGUGUGUGUGUGUGCGGGAGAGAGAGCGGCAGAGAAAUGGUGUGUGUGUGUUUUUGUAAGUAAAGCAGAUUGAUGUAACUGGGUUUCUGUCCAUCACUCAUGUUGCCUGCUCUCUUCAGUGGGGUAGUGCUCUCUCAUACACACCAUGUGAGCUCAGCACUUUUUCGUUUUGGCCACCCCCCGCCUAUAUAUCAGUUUGCUAAGAAGUACCCUCAGGACCCCACAAGAUACAAGGCUAACGCGCGCGCGCGCGCGCACACACACACACACACACACACACACACACACACACACAGGUUUGUCACAAUUCAUCACUCUAGCUAUGAAACAAUCCCACAGACCCUACACAUUAUAGAUGGAGAUAUAGCUGUGAGUAACACACACACAGCAUCAUAAGAUGCUAUCCAUCAAACAAGCUACCACCAUCCCUUAAAAUGUACUGUAGCUAGCACAGUGUGAGUUUGGGUGUGUGUCACAAUUUAUCAGCCAGCCUAUCCCAGGAAGCCAUAUUAUAAUUGCUAUUAAGGAAUAUAUGUAUAAAGAACUAGCGCAGUGUAGGAUAUUAGAAAUAAACUGACGACCUGGUUCAUAAAAUUAAUAAAAAUGCAUAUAGUGUACACCAGAAUACAGCCAUAAUUCUGAAACUGUGUAAUCAAUAAAGUAAUGACAAUAUUGUAAAACCACUGUAAUUCUGUAACUGUAAUAGAAUAAUACCAAUGUACAGUUGUGAAUGUAUUUGAUGUAAUGUAAUCAACUGGAAUGCAUGCAUGUAAUACUUGCACAGCAACUGAUAUUGACUAUGGGUCAUUUGAAAUCCGAGUAACAUUGAACUCACCAGAAGACCACUCCCAGAGGAGUGGACACUAACUUUCACACCUUUAAGCAUUGUUAUAAAUACCUGUAGGCACCAUUGUUCUCGAGUUCGCUGGUGGAGGCAGCAGACGGGCACUAGGGAUGGUCAAAAGGACUGACCUGGGGCCUGUGGGUUGCUGAGACCAGCGGCUCCUCAGCUGAGAUGUUCUUUUUACCACAACACCAUCUCUUUUAUUAAAUACAUAUGAUUUUAAGCUUUUGAUCUGCGAUGACCUCUGUCCGUCCGGUGUUUCUUCAUUUUUGAAUACAACAGCAGACUGAAAGCUAGUCCUAAAACAAAAAGGCUUCUUUCUGACUUUAUAUUUUCUUAAUCCGCAGUUUGGAUCAAAUCUUGAACAAACACAGAAAGAUACACCCUCACCCACAUUGCUUUCAAGCCCAUUUCACGCAGAUUUCCAUGGGUAUAGAGUUAUUACAGCAAAGUAGCUCAGUAGAGGCUAUGAUUUGGCAUCCAUUUAGCCCCUUUUAGCCCAUAUAGGAAGUAAAUGCAAUAGCAGAUUAAGAGAAAUUUGGUAUAAAUCUAGGACCAAAAAAAAAUUAAUUAAAUGUAACCUGCAAAACCUGUAUUAGUUCCAGGUGUUAUAAAUCUGUUUUCCCGACAUUUAAUCAGCUUUUUCUCUGCUGUAAAUCCAGAAGACAACAUGUUUAUUUGUCUGUACCUCAGUGUAAUUCUUCAUGUUUACUUGUCUGUAAUUUAAUAUAAUCUAUUUAGUAUAGACCAAAAUCACAAAUUUGAAUCUGAGAGGUUCACAGCCUGUACACACGAAUCAUCCUCUGUCCCAAAACCCUCCCAUCGACACAGAAAAAAAUAUUUAAAAAGGGGAAAAAAAUGGGAAACCUGAGGGAGAGCAACCUUGAAUGAUCCCUCUACCAGGAUGGAGCUUGAAAGAUAUAGAAUAUGUUCAAUGAAUAUGAUAUAUUCUGUACUAAAUAUUGAAAGCCACAUAAUUAUGAGUGACGAUUGUGACUAAUUGGUUGUUCUUUGUUUUAAGUAGAAUGUCAUAGUGUCUACCGUAAGUCUGAUAUGCCGGCAUGGCGCUGUGCGUUAAAGGUGAGGGUUGAGGCGGUAAACUCAGCAUUUGAGAAACCCCAGGGCCUGGGAGAACACGGCUUCCAUGGUUAGGGUAAGGUGAGGGUUUCUGUAUCUGAAACGGAUAGCAACGAUACAAGUGAACCGUGGUGAAGGGGACGCAACGAGUGCUGUGUGAAGGCUCUUUCCUUGAUAGACCUUUUGAGGAGUGAGGCUAUUUGGGGAGGAUUUGAGGCUGCAUCGGUAAGAGUUUGCAGAAGUUUAUACCACUAAGGUAGGUUUUGAUAGUUGGCGUUUCGAUGGCCAUCUCAGAAUGGGCAAAGGUGACGAAGCAUGUCACGGACAGCAGGUCGAAUCAGGAACAUUUAUUACCAAAAUACGUUAGACGCACAAGUCCCGGAGAGUAGGCAGAUUGCAUCCGAUCGCCCUUUCUGCAGAGCGGAGGACACGCUGCAGCCUGCCCUUGUCCUUGGUUGUGGCUGCAGCAUACGACGGUGAUGGAGGAGCAGAGGAUGGACUCAAUGUGUUAGAAGUGCACUGUCAUAGUCAUUGGCAGGUUGAAUCUCUUCAGCUGCCUCAGGAAGAACAGAGUGUGCUGAGCCUUCUUGGUGAUGAAGCUGAUCUGGUGCUGCUAGCUGGACAUGGCGUCUUAUUUGUCCCAACAUCCGCAACUGAAUCUGGGGACAGGAGCCAUACUAACAGAGCAUUGGAUGUCAGUGGUUUGAAUGGGAUAGUGUAACAGCUACAACAGCCUUUGCCUCUAAUAGUCCAGCCUUAUUGGCUAGUGGGAGCUGAACAUCAGCUUUUCUGCUGGAAUUUCCAGAGCUCUUUCACCAGAUAUGAGCUCAUGAACAUUCAGGGAACUCCAGAGGAGUUACUUCCAACAUUUCUUCUUUCUUUUGUGGAAUUACUGGACACCUUUACUCAUGCAGCAAAAUGCCGGAGGAGAGGAAACCUGGCCGGCUUGUUAGUGUGACUCCAAAAACGUGGUGCUCGCAAACCGCUGACAGGCAUCUUUCUCCCCAAGGUGCGUACACUCUCCAACAAAAUGGACGAAAUUUCACUUGCUGGUAAGGAGACGGAGACUUUUCUGCAUCCUCAAUUUUGUGCUUUAUGGAGACUGUGUGGACCAAUACGGCCUCCAGCUGCUCACCGCGACACAGUUCUCUGGCAAGACGAAGGGUGGAGGAAUUUGCUACUCCAACAUCAACUGGUGCAACGACGUAACCGAUUCCUCAACACUGUUCUCCUGAUGUGGAAUCUUUUUAUGGUCAACUGUAAACAGUUGACAGAGUAAAAAUACAGGUUUAGACUAGAAAAAUGCAUUUCCUGCUGAAAAUGCGUUGGAAUGCUAAAAGCUGAAAUGAACUUCUGAAUAUUGCUGAAAAUACACAGUUGAAGGGAAUUUUAAUACAUUUGCUGAAAUUACAGAUAUUAGAAAAGCUGAAAUUUAUUUGAAAUUGUUGAAAAUACAGAAAUGGGAGAAGCUGAAAGGAAUUUCAAUAAAUUUGCUGAAAAAGCAGAAAUGAAAAGAGAAUUUCUUUUUUUUCAGCUGAAUUUCAAUAGAUUUUCAAAAAAAUACAGAAGUGGCAGGAGCUUAAAUUAAUUUUUUAAAAAUACAGAAAUAACAUAAGCUGAGAUGAUUAAAAAGAGGUUUUAAAUUUGUU